UUGUGCAGUGCUGCUCUUUGUUUCAUCGAUUUAUCCAGGUUUUACACUCCGCGCUUUGUUGACGUGCGUGGUCUAAUCGUGUUGUGUACGUGAGUGGCGUGUAACUAGUGAUACAGCACGCAAGGACAGUCAUUAACGUGCGCGAUCCGCCGAAAAUCAGCCACGAGGCAUUACAACGGGCACGUUCAGUGGGCUGCGCGGCCGUUGCGACGAGCUGCAUUGCUGAUUCUUCGCUUGAGACUGGCAAUUGUCGAGCGGGUUGCAUCCGUUGUUACGUUGCCCGAAGACAGUAGUAAAUGUGAUUUGCAGGGUGCAAGCAACGUGUCAUUGUGGUUAGAAAAAAUGAAUCAGUAUACAUGUGAUUUAACUGUCAAAGCCGGAAUGUUUAAAGCAUACAUCCC